rnacentral:rRNA from 1 species
AACGAACGCUGGCGGCGUGCCUAACACAUGCAAGUCGGACGAGAAAGUUCCUUCGGGAAGCGAGUAAGUGGCGCACGGGUGAGUAACACGUAGACAACCUUGCCUUCCAGUCCGGGACAACCUUUCGAAAGAGGGCUAAUACCGGAUACACUUUGGGCCGCAUGGCCUGGGGUUGAAAGAUUUAUCGCUGGAAGAGGGGUCUGCGGGACAUUAGCUAGUUGG